AUUGAACGCUGGCGGCAGGCCUAACACAUGCAAGUCGAGCGAGCGGCGGACGGGUGAGUAAUGUCUGGGAAACUGCCUGAUGGAGGGGGAUAACUACUGGAAACGGUAGCUAAUACCGCAUACCAUCAGAUGUGCCCAGAUGGGAUUAGCUAGUAGGUGGGGUAACGGCUAACCUAGGCGACGAUCCCUAGCUGGUCUGAAGGGAAGACCAGCCACACUGGAACGGAGACACGGUCCAGACUCCGACGGGAGGAAGCAGUGGGGAGUAUUGCACAAUGGGCGCAAGCCUGAUGCAGCCAGGCCGCGGGUAUGAAGAAGGCCUUCGGGUUGUAAAGUACUUUCAGCGGGGAGGCGUUACCCGCAGAAGAAGCACCGGCUAACUCCGUGCCAGCAGCCGCGGUAAUUC
rnacentral:rRNA from 1 species